rnacentral:rRNA from 1 species
UACAGAGGGUGCAAGCGUUGUCCGGAAUUAUUGGGCGUAAAGAGCUCGUAGGCGGUCUGUCGCGUCUGCUGUGAAAUCCCGAGGCUCAACCUCGGGCCUGCAGUGGGUACGGGCAGACUAGAGUGCGGUAGGGGAGAUUGGAAUUCCUGGUGUAGCGGUGGAAUGCGCAGAUAUCAGGAGGAACACCGGUGGCGAAGGCGGGUCUCUGGGCCGUAACUGACGCUGAGGAGCGAAAGCGUGGGGAGCGAACAGG